AACGAACGCUGGCGGCACGUUUUAAGCAUGGAGGUCGAAUGGCAGUGGGGGCAACCCCAUGAGAAUGGCGAACGGGUGAGUAACACGUAGGUGAUCUGCCUGACGGAUGGGGAUAGCUUGUGGAAACACAGGGUAAUACCGAAUGAGCUGACGAGACUUUGGGUUUGUUAGUAAAGGUGCUACGGCACCGCCGACAGAGGAGCCUGCGGCUGAUUAGCUAGUUGGUGGGGUAAAGGCCUACCAAGGCGACGAUCAGUAGCCGGCCUGAGAGGGUGUACGGCCACACUGGAACUGAGACACGGUCCAGACUCCUACGGGAGGCAGCAGCUAAGAAUCUUCCGCAAUAGGCGAAAGCCUGACGGGGCGAUGCCGCGUGAUCGAUGAAGGUCGAGAGAUUGUAAAGAUCUUUUCUACAUGAGGAAUAAGUCUGGGAGGGAAUGCCUGGAUGAUGACGUUAGUGUAGGAAUAAGCCCCGGCUAAUUACGUGCCAGCCGCCGCAGUAA
rnacentral:rRNA from 1 species